rnacentral:rRNA from 1 species
AUUGAACGCUGGCGGCAGGCUUAACACAUGCAAGUCGAGCGGAGAUGAGGUGCUUGCACCUUAUCUUAGCGGCGGACGGGUGAGUAAUGCUUAGGAAUCUGCCUAUUAGUGGGGGACAACAUUCCGAAAGGAAUGCUAAUACCGCAUACGUCCUACGGGAGAAAGCAGGGGAUCUUCGGACCUUGAGCUAAUAGAUGAGCCUAAGUCGGAUUAGCUAGUUGGUGGGGUAAAGGCCUACCAAGGCGACGAUCUGUAGCGGGUCUGAGAGGAUGAUCCGCCACACUGGGACUGAGACACGGCCCAGACUCCUACGGGAGGCAGCAGUGGGGAAUAUUGGACAAUGGGGGGAACCCUGAUCCAGCCAUGCCGCGUGUGUGAAGAAGGCCUUAUGGUUGUAAAGCACUUUAAGCGAGGAGGAGGCUACUGAGACUAAUACUCUUGGAUAGUGGACGUUACUCGCAGAAUAAGCACCGGCUAACUCAGUGCCAGCAGCCGCCGUAACAC